rnacentral:rRNA from 1 species
GAUGAACGCUGGCGGCGUGCCUAAUACAUGCAAGUCGAGCGAACAGAUGAGGAGCUUGCUCCUCUGACGUUAGCGGCGGACGGGUGAGUAACACGUGGAUAACCUACCUAUAAGACUGGGAUAACUUCGGGAAACCGGAGCUAAUACCGGAUAAUAUAUUGAACCGCAUGGUUCAAUAGUGAAAGACGGUUUUGCUGUCACUUAUAGAUGGAUCCGCGCCGCAUUAGCUAGUUGGUAAGGUAACGGCUUACCAAGGCAACGAUGCGUAGCCGACCUGAGAGGGUGAUCGGCCACACUGGAACUGAGACACGGUCCAGACUCCUACGGGAGGCAGCAGUAGGGAAUCUUGCGCAAAGGGCGAAAGCCUGACGGAGCAACGCCGCGUGAGUGAUGAAGGUCUUCGGAUCGUAAAACUCUGUUAUUAGGGAAGAACAAAUGUGUAAUUAACUAUGCACGUCUUGACGGUACCUAAAGAGUAAGCCACGGCUAACUACGUG